AUUGAACGCUGGCGGCAUGCCUUACACAUGCAAGUCGAACGGCAGCACGGGAGCAAUCCUGGUGGCGAGUGGCGAACGGGUGAGUAAUAUAUCGGAACGUGCCCGGUCGUGGGGGAUAACGUAGCGAAAGCUACGCUAAUACCGCAUACGAUCUACGGAUGAAAGCGGGGGAUCGCAAGACCUCGCGCGAUUGGAGCGGCCGAUAUCAGAUUAGGUAGUUGGUGAGGUAAAGGCUCACCAAGCCGACGAUCUGUAGCUGGUCUGAGAGGACGACCAGCCACACUGGGACUGAGACACGGCCCAGACUCCUACGGGAGGCAGCAGUGGGGGAAUUUUGGACGAAUGGGCGGCAAGCCUGAUCCAGCAAUGCGCGUGCAGGAUGAAGGCCUUCGGUU
rnacentral:rRNA from 1 species